GAUUACAUUGUUCAUCCCCAUGCCAGCAACCAAUAAAACAACGUCACCGUCGCACGUCUAUUAUGAGAUCAACACGUAUCUCAAUCUCGGCCCCCACAUGGCUUCCUCUUUUCUCGCUUUGAUGAAGAGAUGGGGGAUGGAAUUCCUUCUCUCCUGACCGCACUUUUCCUUUGAGGAGUCCAUACAACUUGGAAUAGAGAGUACAACAGAGGUGA
rnacentral:lncRNA from 1 species